rfam:Candidate division WOR-1 bacterium RIFOXYC2_FTLL_41_25 rifoxyc2_full_scaffold_1027, whole genome shotgun sequence.
CUUGGUGGCCAUGCCGGAGGUGUCCCACCCGUUCCCAUUCCGAACACGGAAGUGAAAUCCUCGAGGGUCAAUGGUACUUCUAGACUUCGUUUAGGGGGAGAGUAGAACGCUGCCAGGU